CCCCCCUUAUAAAAAUCAAAUGGAAGAUCCCUAAUUGAUAUGUUUGGCGCAACACAACUUCUUCGACGGACCAACUUCAAUAGUACAUGUCAUAUACCGUAUAAAUGUAAGAAUUUGUAGCUUGAAAAAUCUAAUAUGAACAUGUAUACCAUCUAUUUCAACUUUUCCGUCUUUACAUAAAUAGCCAACCCAUGGUAAAUAUAGGCAACAGUAGUUCAGUGGCGUAGCCUGAGAUUUUCAA
rnacentral:lncRNA from 1 species